rnacentral:rRNA from 1 species
CGAGCACGCGCGUGUGGCAUAUCAAUAAGCGGAGGAAAAGAAACUAACAAGGAUUCCCUUAGUAACGGCGAGUGAAGCGGGAAGAGCUCAAAUUUGAAAUCUUCAAGGUUCUACCUUGACGAAUUGUAGUUUAUAGAAGUGUUUUCUGUUAGUAGAGUGGCAAAAGUUCUUUGGAAUAGGACAUCAUAGAGGGUGAGAAUCCCGUAUUUGGUCAUUCCUUCCUAGCGUUGUGAUACACUUUCAACGAGUCGGAUUGUUUGGGAAUGCAGUCCAAAAUGGGUGGUAAAUUUCAUCUAAAGCUAAAUAUUGGCGAGAGACCGAUAGCGAACAAGUACCGUGAGGGAAAGAUGAAAAGAACUUUGAAAAGAGAGUUAAACAGUACGUGAAAUUGUCAAAAGGGAAGCGUUUGACACCAGUGUUGUUUUUCCGAAAAUCAAUUACGAAUGUUUUGUUUUUAAGAAGUUAUGACUUCAUCGGCUUGCUUCUCUCUUUACGAAACUUUCUUAAUGCACUUUUCGGUUAACAAGUCAACAUCAAUUUCUUUUGUUGUAAAAGGGUAUGAGGAAGGUGGCUUUCUUUUCGGAGAAAGUGUUUAUAGCCUUGUACCUCUGCAAUCGGAGAGAUUGAGGUCUGCAGCGUAGAUCCUUCGGGGUUAGAUACAUUUGUGCUAAGUUAUAGCUUUUCAUAGACAACUUGUUGACUAUGUUAAGUCUUGUAGCUUACUCGCUUAUGCUAUUUUACCUACGCUUAGGAUGUUGAUGUGAUACUGCGAGCA